GUUUUGGUGGCUGUAGUUUUUAAUCACUUUUCUCUUUCUAUAGAUUCUUCAUGGUCUCAGAGAAGACUACAAAAAUGAUUCAUCAAAAGAAACCCAACUAGCCCACAACAUAUAUGCUAGCAAGAGAACAGCGUUAGAAAAUCUGAAGUAAGCAGAACACUCAGAUUCUUUCAAUCCCUGCCUCUACCGGAUGCUGUUCCACACUUCUCUCCAUAGAGUCUGAAACAUGUAGCAGACUAUGGUCUGAUCUUCCCCUUCUGAAGCUGUAUCCUUGUAAAGGAAAAUACUUAUAUUAAUGGAUCAUACAACAGGAGGUGAGAGAGAGAGGGAUCCUCUAUGUGAAUUAACAGGUUACCCUUUCUUUCGUGUCAAUGCCCAGGCAAGACAGUCCAUAAUAAAUGUGACUCUUUGGGAUGCAGAAAUGGAACUUGGCUGGAAAUGUGUGAAGUUUUGCUUUUAGUUAAGUUGAAUGUCAUCCUCUCUUUGAAGAAGACAAAGAAGACAAGGAAGGAAAGUAUAAUUUAUCCACUGUAUUGACAUUUGGGUUUGGAAAGUACAAAAAUAUGUGAGCUGCACAUACUAUUAAUAUUAAUAAUGUUAAAAAAAAAAUCCCUCACAAGGGCUUUGUGUUAAUCUUACAUGAUUCAACUCUUGGUUGCAUAAUGAAGAUCUUACAUAUUUAAUAAGCAAAUUGAAGUAGGCCCAAAUGAGUGAACAACAUAACACUGCAAAAAGAAACAGGGAGGAGGGAAUUCUUGUCAGAUGAGGUUGCUGAAAAAAAAAAAAAAACUGAUCUACUGACAUUUUUAUGUCUCCCAUCAAAUGUCAUUGUGAAUUGAAAGUGGAAUGUCUGAAAAUAAAAGCAGCAGUAAGUUUCUGUAUAACCUGAUG
rnacentral:lncRNA from 1 species